AACGAACGCUGGCGGCAUGCCUAACACAUGCAAGUCGAACGAGACCUUCGGGUCUAGUGGCGCACGGGUGCGUAACGCGUGGGAACCUGCCCUUAGGUUCGGAAUAACUCCCCGAAAGGGGUGCUAAUACCGGAUAAUGCCUUCGGACCAAAGAUUUAUCGCCUUUGGAUGGGCCCGCGUUGGAUUAGCUAGUUGGUAGGGUAAAAGCCUACCAAGGCGACGAUCCAUAGCUGGUCUGAGAGGAUGAUCAGCCACACUGGGGCUGAGACACGGCCCAGACUCCUACGGGAGGCAGCAGUGGGGAAUAUUGGACAAUGGGCGAAAGCCUGAUCCAGCAAUGCCGCGUGAGUGAUGAAGGCCUUAGGGUUGUAAAGCUCUUUUACCCGGGAUGAUAAUGACAGUACCGGGAGAAUAAGCUCCGGCUAACUCCGUG
rnacentral:rRNA from 1 species